rnacentral:misc_RNA from 1 species
GAUGAAGAACGCAGCGAAAUGCGAUAAGUAAUGUGAAUUGCAGAAUUCAGUGAAUCAUCGAAUCUUUGAACGCACAUUGCGCCCAUUAGUAUUCUAGUGGGCAUGCCUGUUCGAGCGUCAUUACAACCCUUAAGCCUAGCUGCUUAGCGUUGGGAACUUAGCCUCCAAAGCUAAUUCCUUAAAGACAUUGGCAGAGUUGCGGCAUACUCUAAGCGUAGUAAUUUAUUCUCGCUUCUGAAGGUGUCGUGACGAUCGCCACAAACCUCUAUAUUCCUAGUGGUUGACCUCGGAUCAGGUAGGAAUACCCGCUGAACUUAAGCAUAUCAAUAAGCGGGAGGA